rnacentral:rRNA from 1 species
UACAGAGGGUGCAAGCGUUGUUCGGAAUUACUGGGCGUAAAGGGCGCGUAGGCGGUGUGUCAAGUCAGGCGUGAAAGCCCCGGGCUCAACCUGGGAACAGCGCUUGAGACUGGCACGCUCGAGUUCGGGAGAGGAUGGUGGAAUUCCCGAGUGUAGAGGUGAAAUUCGUAGAUAUUGGGAAGAACACCGAUGGCGAAGGCAGCCAUCUGGACCGACACUGACGCUGAGGCGCGAAAGCGUGGGGAGCAAACAGG